UUCCCUAGUACGGCGAGUGAAGAGGGAAGAGCCCAAGAUUGAAAGCUGGCGUCUUCGGCGUCCGCAUUGUAAUCUCAAGAAGUGUUUUCCGCUUCGGACCAUGCCUAAGUCCCUUGGAAAAGGGCAUCAUAGAGGGUGAUAAUCCCGUUCAUGGCAUGGAGCGCCCGAAGCUUUGUGAUACGCUUUCUAAGAGUCGAGUUGUUUGGGAAUGCAGCUCAAAAUGGGUGGUAAAUGCCAUCUAAGGCUAAAUAUUGGGGAGAGACCGAUAGCGAACAAGUACAGUGAUGGAAAGAUGAAAAGAACUUUGAAAAGAGAGUUAAACAGUACGUGAAAUUGCCAAAAGGGAAGGGUAGGAGGUCAGAGAUGCGUCUUGGAAUUCAGCCUUGCUUCUGCUUGGUGUUUUUUCCAAGUUGCAGGCCAACGUCGGUUUUGGGCACUGGAGAAGGGUGGAAGGAAUGUGGCACCUCUCGGGGUGUGUUAUAGCCUUCUACUGGAUACAGCGACCGAGACCGAGGACAGCAGCGUACUCGUAAGAGCGGGCCUUCGGGCACCUUUACGCUUAGGGCGUUGGCAUAAUGGCCCUCUACCACCCGUCUUG
rnacentral:rRNA from 1 species